rnacentral:rRNA from 1 species
AUGGAGGUGGCUCUCGUGAGUGUGGCGACGGGGGUCCUCAAACCUGUUCUGGAGAAGCUGGCCACCCUUCUUGGCAAUGAGUACAAGCGAUUCAAGGGUGUGCGCAAAGAGAUCAAGUCUCUCAGUCAUGAGCUGGCCGCCAUGGAGGCUUUUCUCUUCAAGAUGUCCGAUGUGGAGGAUCCUGAUGUACAAGAUAAAGUGUGGAUCAAUGAGGUGCGGGAGCUCUCCUAUGACAUGGAGGAUGCCAUUGACGACUUCAUGCAGAGCGUCUGUGACAAAGACGAAAAGCCAGAUGGCUUCAUUGAGAAGAUCAAGAACUCACUACGGAAGUUGGGGAAGAUGAAGGCUUGCCGUCGAAUCGGCAGAGAGAUCCAGGAUCUGAAGAAACAGAUCAUUGAGGUGGGCGGGAGGAAUGAAAGGUACAAGAGUCGCGAGGCCUUCUCCAAGACUGUCAAUGCAACCGUUGACCCUAGAGCUCUUGCUAUAUUUGAGCAUGCAUCGAAACUUGUUGGAAUCGAUGAACCCAAGGCUGAGAUAAUCAAAUUAUUGAUGGACAACAAUGGGUUUGUGUCAACACAACAAAAAACAAAGAUAGUCUCCAUCACUGGACCUGGAGGAAUGGGCAAAACAACUCUUGCUAACCAAGUGUAUCAAGAGAUCAAAGGCCAGUUCAAGUGUUCGGCCUUCCUAUCUGUGUCGCGAAGCCCGGACAUGAUGAAUAUCCUGAGGACUAUUCUUAGUGAAGUUAGCGGUCAAGAUUAUUCUAACACGGAAGCAGGGAGUGUACAAAUACUCAUUAGCAAGAUCAAUGACUUCCUACUAGAUAAAAGGUACUUUGUUGUUGUUGAUGAUAUAUGGGACGUGGAUACAUGGGAUACUAUUAAGUGUGCAUUCCCGGAGGCCAGUUCUACCAGUAGAAUAAUCACCACUACGCGUAUGAACAAUGUUGCACAUUCAAGUUGUUCAUCAUUCAAUGGCCAUAUUUAUAAUAUAAGGCCCCUUGAUAUUGUCCGCUCAAGGCAAUUAUUUCAUGGAAGACUAUUCAAAUCCGAAGAAAAUUGCCCUCCAUACCUUCAAGAAGUUUCUAAUCAAAUCUUGAAAAAAUGUGAUGGGCUACCAUUGGCGAUCAUCGCUAUAUCUGGUUUGUUGGCCAACACAGAAAAAACAGAGGAUCUAUGGAAUCAAGUGAAAGAAUCAAUUGGCCGUGCACUUGAAAGAAAUCCGAGUGUUGAGGGAAUGAUGAAGAUAUUGUCACUUAGUUACUUUGAUCUGCCUCCUCAUCUCAAGACGUGUCUCUUAUAUGUGAGUAUUUUUCCAGAAGAUUCUUUUAUUGGGAGGAAUGAUCUUAUAAGGAGCUGGAUAGGUGAAGGAUUAAUUCAUAAAGAAGGUAUGUAUAAUGUACAUAAGAUAGGGGAGAGGUGUUUUAACGAGCUUCUCAAUAGGGGUCUGAUCCAACCCGGGGAAACCAAUAAACAUGGUAUGGUGAAGAGUUGUCGAGUUCAUGACACAAUUCUUGAUUUUAUCAUAUCCAAGUCUAUAGAAGAGAACUUUGUCACUUUACUUUGUGCUCCCAUUUUGACAACUGGGACACAAAGAAAAGUCGUCCGUCGACUCUCUCUACAAGGCGUCAAGCAAAGAAAUUCAUCAAUAACCAUAGCUGGUCAGGUGUUGUCUCAUGUCAGGUCACUUAAUGUGUAUGGAGAUUCUGUCGAAAUCCCUUCUUUGGAGGAGUUCAGACACGUUCGCGUUCUUCACUUGAAGCAUUGCUACCAAUUGAAAGAGUGUAAUCUUGAAAAUAUAGUGACGUUGUUCAAGCUGAGGUACUUGAACCUCGCAGAGACAGGAAUGAGUGAGCUCCCAGAACAAAUCGGGAAUUUAGGGUGCUUAGAGAUGAUGGACCUAAGAUUCUCCGGUGUAAAGGGAUUACCUGCAUCUAUUGUUAAUCUCAUAAAAUUGUCGCAUCUACUUGUUGACGGUGAUGUUAAAUUUCCUGAUGGGAUUGCGAAGAUGCAAGCAUUGGAGACGUUGAAAGUGGUGAGGGUUUCCUUGCAGACAUUUGACUUCCUAUGCGGUCUUGGCCAACUAAAGAAUUUGAGCAAUCUGGUCUUGGAGUUUUCCAAAGUUCAUUGUGACACUGAGGAUAUAGAUGAAGUUGGGGGGUGCAACGAAGCAAUUGUCUCUUCCCUGUGUCAGUUAGGCAUCCAGAACCUUCACUCCCUGACUAUUCGGCGUGGGAGCAGGCUCUUACAAGAACCCUUAUGCAUGCUUACCCUCAAGAAGCUUACUACCCGGGGUUCAGUCGUCUCACGGGUUCCAAAUUGGGUGGGAUCCCUCAGAAACAUUCAACAGUUAUGUCUUCAAGUGGACGGAGUCAAGCAGGAUGAUCUCUGCAUCCUUGGAGCCUUACCCACCCUGCUCAUUUUGCAUCUGAAGGAAGUAACAAAGCCAAAUGAAAUGCUCAGAAUCUGUGGUGAAGUUGGGUUCCUAUUCUUGAGGAUGUUUAUUUAUGAUGCAAAUUCUCACCCUGUAGAUCUGAUGUUUGAGGCAGGAUCCAUGCCCAAGCUAGAAAUGCUCGAGAUUAUUUGUUGGCCCGUACUUGAAGCUGACUCUAUGGACUUUGGAAUUGAGAACCUCCCCUGCCUCCGUACUAUCAAAUGUGAAGCAAAUAAUAGUGAUGCCAUUGUUGGAGCCAUAAAGACUGCCAUCGAAAGAGCAGCCAGCACACAUCCCAACCACCCUAGUCUACUCUUUGGGAGAGUUGCUUCUGCUUCUCGUCUGGACGGCUGA